GGGAAAGGCCAUAGCUCAGCGGUAGAGCACCUGCUUUCCAUGGGAAAGGAUCUGGGUUCAAUCCCUACCAUUUCCCA